AUCCGCGCCUGCGCAGCCGCGGGUCGCCCAGGGUUGGGAUGUUGGUGUCGGCUGGGGGCUGCUGUGAGGCGCUUGGUAGCACCCAGUCCUGAUACUCUCCAGUUACCCGGUAGGCGGGGCUCGGACACAAAGAAAAGGUGAAUUCGCAGCUGAGAGCCCUUGUUUCCGGUCCUUUUUUUUUUUUUUUUGAGAUGGAGUCUCGCUCUGUCACCCAGGCUGGAGUGCAGUGGCGCCAUCUCGGCUCACUGCAAGCUCUGCCUCCGGUGUUCAAGCGAUUCUCCUGCCUCAGCCUUCUAAGUAGCUAGGAUUACAGGCGCGCGUCACCACGCUUGGCUAAUUUUUGUAUUUUUAGUAGAGCCGAGGUUUCACCAAGUUGGUCAAGAUGGUCUCAAACUUCUGACCUCGUGAUCCGCCCGCCUCGGCCUCCCAAAGUGCCGGGAUUACAGGCGUGAGCCACCGCGCCCGGCCGUCUCCGAUCUUUACACGCAUUCUUCGUGUUAUCUGAAGACACUCUGACGCCACCACCCAAAGCAACUGGCAGUUGACUCUUGGCAAUUUUAAGCUUGUGUGGAAAGCAGCCGCCGCCCGGUAGCUCCUUUUUAUCUAGAGACACUCAGGAUGUGGGGGACACCCCAGCAAUGCCAUCCCUCCUUUGACCUCCAGAGCGCGCAGAAUUACAAAAGAUCUUUGGGGGCUUGGAUGGAGGAACAGGAAAAGAGGAGCCAGGCUUUUUUGGAAAAUUGGCGGCAGCGGUGGCAUACGGGAAACUGAAAUCUUUAUCUAAUCUCAUCCUUUGUAUAUUCGUCUUGGAUUUGCUGAAGAAAAUUAAAAGGUAAAUUUUGCUGUGAGCUCACUGAACUCAAAUUGAAAGGGAACAUAUGCUGUUUAUUUUUGUGAAG
rnacentral:lncRNA from 10 species